UCCUCUGUCGCUCAGGGUUUCUCAAAGUGUGGUUCAUGCACCACCUGCAUCAACAUCAGCUGAUGGUGUUUGGUAAAAAAAACACAGAUUCCUUGGCCCUACUUCAGACAGAUUGAAUCAGAGUCUCGGAGGGUUGCGGUAAAAAAAAAAAAAAAAAAUCUAUGUUUUAAAUAAGCUCUUCAGCUGAUCCUUAUGCAAGUUUGAGAACCCCUGCUGGAGAACAGCUGCAAUCUGCAAGUGGCCCCCUUUAAGCACUCCAUCUGUGUCCAGCUAAGCCAAAAACCAGAAUAUGAGAACCACCACCUUUUUGUGGUGAUGGAGCUGUCACCUGACCUCACACCUGUGUGCUGUGAGGUGCAAUGAAGGGAAGGGUGGAAGGUAAUGUAUGUAUCCACUGCCUCUUCACCAGGCAUCAUCCUUUCGGUGGUCCUGAUUGGUGGUCUUGGCAUCUGCAUUGUCCUGGCAGUGUCCUUCUGGCUUUUCAGAAAGAAGAAAAGUAGCAAAAAAGGUGACAACAACAAGGGAGUCAUUUAUAAACCAGCCAUCAAGAAGGAGACUGAGGCCUACGCCUGAGGUCCCCGGCACUCCAAGAAAAGACCUUGCUUUGGACACUACACGCUUUGCCUCUCUGGACACUUGGAACACCUGGGGAUAUUCUCUGGAGCUCCUUGACUGGGUCCCACCCUGGUGCCACGGUCAUCCCGAGUGUGGUCAGCGGCUGGGAAGCGUUCUCGGGUCAGGAGGCAGGACCACAGAUGCUCCGUCUGUGGGAGAUCAUUCGGCCUGGAUUCUGGGGCCUCAACCCCGCAGCCUGCCUGCGGCAGUUACUAACUGGAAAACACAUUCACCCAGGGGUUCACGCCAGUGCACUUUCAAAUGUCCUGGAAAUCCUGCUUAUUCUCCAACCUUUCAGACCAGAAUGUGCACUCUCUGCUUAGGUUUCACUUUUAAAACUCAGUUUCUUUUCUCAGGGGAGGGCUGUCCUUCGAUUUCCUUCCGCUCUGACAAAACCUUUAGUCUGACAUUAUAAGUGGGAGGAAGAAUUGAUACAGGAAGGGUCAAGUUGUCAGAGGCAAAAAGAAAACAAGAGAUACACUUUAUAAUAUAUUAGGGGCAUUUUCAGAGUUCUGUCCUUUGGGUCACAGGCAUUGAACUAGCCCUAAAAAAAAAAACCUUUUUCAAGUCCCAUUUCUUGGUGGGGAUGGGAAAGAUAUAGGGGAUGAGAAAACACGUAUGGACUGGGAGAGUCAUGCUUUGGAAUAGGUAUGUUUAUUUAAGUAUUUAGUCAUGCCAUAAAUGGGAAUAGGACAGAUUAUUAAGAGGUGAGUUCUGAGAUGACACGAACUGCUUUGGAAUCUAGAGGAGAUGGGCAGAAGCAAAGUGAUGAUCGAGCUUUGUCUCUUUUGCCCAAAUUUUGCUUUCAGCCACCUCUGCUGUGUCCCUACUGUGAACCUGAAGUUGGGACUUUUCUUCUCUGACUUUGAAGAUGUCAAGUCAUGAUUCAGUUAAAAUAUAUUUUCAAGCCAUAAAAGCAGGCUGUUGCCUGUGCGGGGACUGACAUCAUCACAGUAUGCAGGGAUCAGUGGUAACGGACCAUUACCAAGAUGCGUCGUGUUCUCCCCGUUCAUAGAGACAGCUUCUGAGAAGACUUAAUUCCGCCUUCAUUUCCCUCCUCUAGCUGUGAGAACCCCAUGGCAAUCAGUGAAUUCACCACCCAGCCCUGUUUGCUAGCACCUUGCAGUUCACAGAGAACUUUUCUGAUUCAUGAUCUCAUUUUGACAAAAUAGAAUGUCCCUCUUGAAGCACUGGUUUCUUUAUCACAUAGUUUUCCUUCUGCUCCUCCCACUAACUCUUUGAUAUAUGGAUGCUGAGAAUUCGCCUCACCUCUCCACUGUCACAACGUUUCCCAGUGAUGGCAAGCCCGUUUGUGGCCUGAUUUGCUAAGGCAGCAUUGCAAGUCAUCUAAUGGAGGGUUCAGAUGAGUGUGUGAAUGAGACCUCCGAUGGCCUUGGAGCCUGGAGGGGCAUCCCAGCCCUGCCAUUAGCACUCCUGAUGCAUCAUCCAGUGACAGCAAGGGUGACCCUGGGACAGAACAAUGGGAAUUAGGUAAUGGUUUCUUGGCCUUGGCCCAAAGUUGCCAUUCAGAAACAAUUAAACCACCCUAGAGUGGAAAGAAUGUCUUUUAAAAAGAUCUCUACACAUUUUAUGAAUGUGCUUUGUGAGAGAACAGAGAUCACUGUACCUGGCACAAAGGUUGUUGAUAAAGAAGGGGAUUUACUAUUUACUGGGUGGUGAAAAACAGAGGCAUUUCUCCUUUCCUCUUCUCCCUCACCCAGCACAAUCUCCUAGCCCUUGUGGCUGAGACAAAACAAACCCAGGGAAGCAAAAAGAAUGUUCCAAGAAUCAACACUGUCAACAUCCUUGCUAAUCUGUAUAGGACUCCUGAGGAUCCAGCUUUGGACUGGGACCUUGAAGAAAGAACGAAACUUUUUUCAGAGGUACAUUCAUUCCACUGAUUCCAUUUGCUGCUGAGGAAAUCAGUGCUGCGGUGGCUGAAGCCCCACUGCUUCUCCUUCCUGCUCUCUGCCGGCAUGCAGCCUGCCUUGGGGGAUCCAGGCACUGUGCUGGGCACAGGGCAGGGGGAGAGAACACUGGCAAGGCACAGGCUGAGGUGAGGGCGCUGGGAAGUUGGUGGCAUCUGCAGUCUUUCAGGGCCUCUCCCUAACGGGAAUGCUGUGUCUCUUUGUUCUGUUUCUUUAGUAUUAUCUGGUAAAAAGGGUAAAAACCUAUAGCUGUUUCUUUAACAGACAUUCUAGGAUUUCAUGGCAUCAAUUCUACUAAAUUCAAGCUCAGACCCGAAAUUCCUCUUGCCUUCAUUUAAGGAAGAGUCCUUAGACACCCCCCUGUCCCCUGACCGUAGACCACUGUGAUGGUGGUCUAAAAAGCACCUCUGUAUUCGUUGUAAGAAUGAUUGUAAUGAAGGUGUGUGCCGUAAAUACAAGAAAUUCUCAAUAAAAUGUUUUUCACAUCAGACUGGUUUUUUGAAGGUGAGGUCAAAGCCUUACUGUUGGUAGAGCACUUUGAAGCUAUGGUGAUGGGAAACCAAUCAGAACAGAUAAAGAGUUCAACCAAUAGCUAAUAAAUAAUAUUUGCAUAAUGGUCUCAGGAUCUGUCUCCAAAGGAACAUACACUGAUGUGCUUAAUCACUUUACUGAAGAUGAAGGCCUAUGAUGUGUGCAGCCAGGGGCUGCCCAACUUGCUGGUUAGUGGAGCUAGAAAGUCUGAAGUCAUCAUGGAACACUUUGAUGAAUAACUUCGAACAGAUGCAAGAGAGAGAGGGAGGCAUUCUUAAUCAAAGUCAGGUGAAAACAGGGACCAGGUCUUAAAUCUCUUUCUACUCCUAAAAGUAUGGCACCUAGUAUCUGGAGUAUAUGUUGCCUGACUGUUAUUAAAUGCCAUCUUUUGCCUUCUUUUUUUUUUUUUUACCAAAACAUGCUACCACUCUCCAUAUAAUCUUUUUGUCUCAAUUCAGAUUUCACAUUCUGAUUUGCUAAAUGAGAGGCAGCCCUGUAAAGGUUACAAAUAAACACCUUCAUUAUUUGAGUUAUUUAGAAAAACUUCCAAUUUUCACUGUGCU
rnacentral:lncRNA from 1 species